GAUAAAUAGACAUAAUCUAUGCGUAUGCGUGUAGAUGUAGAUUAUGUACUUAUGUGUGUACACGUGUGUGAUAUCAACGGUGGAAUGUUUGUCCGGGAAUCGUUAGUUUCAACUUUUGAAUUAAACUGAAAAGUACGAUAACCGCGUAUCUGUCCGUGUUUAUACGCGAUGAUAAAGCGGUCAGGUUUUUGACCACAUUCACGUUUCUAUCAGACGCACGUUCCCCUGUACGAAUGAACGAACGAUUCGAUCGAUCGGAUCGUUCGCCGAGCGAAACGUGUUC
rnacentral:misc_RNA from 1 species